UCAACGUCGAUGCGGUGCAUGUACACUACUGGCGAAAACAAGAGGACGGGCUUUGUGCUACAAAAAAGGAUCGCUGCGCAUUUCAAGGGCCAAAACACGGCAAGUUACCUCUCGUGGAGAACAAAGUUCUGGAAUAUGUCAAGAGGCUCAGGAAUGAAUGGCGCACAUC
rnacentral:lncRNA from 1 species